UACGUAGGGGGCAAGCGUUGUCCGGAAUCAUUGGGCGUAAAGCGCGCGUAGGCGGCCAGAUUAGUCCGGUGUGAAAGUCAGAGGCUCAACCUUUGAAUGCCGCUGGAAACUGUCUGGCUUGAGUCCGGAAGGGGCUACUGGAAUUCUCGGUGUAGCGGUGAAAUGCGUAGAUAUCGAGAGGAACACCCGUGGCGAAGGCGGCUCUCUGGGACGGUACUGACGCUGAGACGCGAAAGCGUGGGGAGCAAACAGG
rnacentral:rRNA from 1 species